GACGAACGCUGGCGGCGUGCCUAAUACAUGCAAGUCGAGCGCAGAGGGUUGGUACUUGUACCAACUGCGUGAGCAGCGAACGGGUGAGUAACGCGUGGGGAAUCUGCCUUUGAGAGGGGGACAACUUUUGGAAACGAGUGCUAAUACCGCAUAAAAUCUUUAAACACAAGUUUUAAUUUUGAAAGACGGAAUUGCAGCACUUAAUGGUGAUCUCGCGUUGUAUUUGGUAGGUGGUGAGGUAAAGGCUCUCCAACGCGAAGUAACAUAGCCGACCUGAGAGGGGGGUCGGCCACAUUGGGACGGAGACCCGGCCCAAACUCCUUCGGGAGGCAGCAGGAGGGAAACUUCGGCCAUGGGCGGAAGUCUGACCGAGCAACGCCGCGGGAGGGAAGAAGGUUUUCGGGUCGGAAAACUCUGUUGGUAGGGAAGAACGUUGGUUAGAGUGGAAAGCGCAUCGAGUGACGGUAACUACUCAGAAAGCGACGGCUAACUACGUG
rnacentral:rRNA from 1 species